AUUCUCCAGUUUCCUUCUCCUGUCUCAAAGCAUGCAAGUUGGAAUGGAUAUCUUUGAUUGAGUGGGAACUUGAAGUCUGAAGAGUGAAACCAGGAAACUGUACAGUCAAAAUACAGAAGACAAAGGUUAACAGAAAGAGAAAGGAGAGAACCCUCCCUGGACUUUACUUCUGAAACCUCGUGGAACUGAAAAUGCUGCACAUAAUGUCGGGCAUGUAAAGAACACUCAUACUGGGGGCCUAAGUGAACCUCUAUGGGGAGAAAUGUGCAGAGGAUGCUAACUUGAGUCAACAUUUGUCUGCAAUUUGCCUUCGCCCAGAGAAAACCCAGGAUUGCUGUACCGAGAUUAGCUGCCUAGACUCAGAAGAAUGAUUGUCUACUGCUGUUCAAAUCUGUGACUUUGCAGCUGUAAUCAAAACCAGCAGGAGAGUUUCUGACUUAUAUCACUGGCAGCGAACUCACGGAAUACAUAAUGCAUACCCAGAAGAGUUGAGAGAAUUUCAAUAGUUUCUUAGGGGUUUGGAUUGUUCUCCACAGAGGCUUAAUAUUGAAGGCAAAUUGACUUCUCAACUGCUGCACUGGUUUUGCAGUUUUGCCGUAGAGCUUUAGAAGAGAGGAACGGUUGUUUGUCUCAUUGGGUUCUGGAAAACACAACUUUUUCCAGCCAUAGAUCUCUCUGGUGACGGCUUAGUCAAGCGCAUUUUGACAAGAGGUAAAGCAGCCUCGAAUCGUGGAUUCCAAAGAGCUGCAAAUGUGUUGUUUUGACUGCUGCAUAUGGAUAUAUUUAAAGGCAGAAAUCCAUGCUGUCAGGCCAGGAACACAUCAUCUGAGCAAAUUAUAAUUUCACUUGCUAAAGUAUUAAGGACACUAUUGAAGAGGAGACUUUAAGUCUAAAAGAAAAAUCUCUCAAGAGAA